rnacentral:rRNA from 1 species
AUUGAACGCUGGCGGCAGGCCUAACACAUGCAAGUCGAACGAGUGGCGGACGGGUGAGUAAUGUCUGGGAAACUGCCUGAUGGAGGGGGAUAACUCCGGGAACCGGUAGCUAAUACCGCAUACCAUCAGAUGUGCCCAGAUGGGCGUAGCUUGUUGGGGGGGUAACGGCGCACCAAGGCGACGAUCCCUAGCUGGUCUGAGAGGAUGACCAGCCACACUGGACCUGAGACACGGUCCAGACUCCUACGGGAGGCUGCAGUGGGGAAUAUUGCACAAUGGGCGCAAGCCUGAUGCAGCCAUGCCGCGGGUAUGAAGAAGGCCGUCGGGUUGUAAAGUACUUUCAGCGGGGAGGCGUUACCCGCAGAAGAAGCACCGGCUAACUCCGUGCCAGCAGCCGCGGUAAUUC